AUGACAUGAAAAAUCUCUAAAUCAAGGCCUUAGAUGCUAUCUAGGUACGGAUCUCCUGUAUACAGUAGACUGCUUACCAGAAAAAAUAUCUUUCAGUCCCACCAACUUAAAAGGUAGAUAUAUGAGCAUUCGCUGAAGCUAUUGGACCUUUAACUGGAACUGCAGGGUUUCGUCACGUGAAGAUAAGACAAACCCUCCAGAUGUGUCAGAGUGAAAAAAUUGAUAGAAAUGCUGUUUCCUUUCCGCCUGCUUUCCAUCUUAUCAACACCAACAGUGUUGCACGUGCAAAGAAAAGAUGAUAGCAAUAAUUAAAACAAACAAAAAAUCUAUGUAUAUAUAUUUGGUUGUUUUUGUAGCAGCAGGUAUUUUUUUUUUUCAAAACUGUAAUUUCUCUUAAUGAGGUUAAAACCUUCACUCUCAUGUACGGACAUAUGGGCCAUGCAUUCAGCAGAUGAAUUGGAUCAGUGUCAGAUAUGAGCAAAUAAGCUCAGUCCAGUUAUAGGUAUUGGAUUGGAUCGGAAAAACUGGAUCGGUGCAUCUCUAAUCUUUACCAGGGUGCCAAAACCUUUUGGAUAUGACCAGUGCUGCAGCAAGGGUCUACCUAUGAGGAAAUCAACUUACUGAUACAAUUUUUUUAUAUCUUAAAAUUCUGGUAAAAAUCAGACAAAAGGAGGCACUUUAUUUUAUUUUACUGGUUUAAAACAGUAUAUAUGGUUCUUUCAAAUCCCAUCAAGUUUUAUUUGCAUUUAAUAAUAAAACGGUGUUAAUGAAUAAUAGGAACUAAUAAAAUAUGAACACUGAUAAGGCAUAACAUUAUGACCAAUAAAAUGUUUUAGUUUGCAUUCUUCCCACAGCUGCUGCUACUGUAUAUCUCUCAGAAAUGCUAAGGAAGGCAGCGAGGAUCAAAGUAACAUCAAGAUUAAGGCCAGUAUACGAGUCAUAAUGAUUUUGCCGAUUGGUUUGUAGCCUUAAAAAUCAACGUUAUACUGUUGAAGUAUUUGAAAUGUCAUCUAAAGUGUUCAGUUUCUCAGGGAGAACAAAAUGAAUAUAAGAAAAUACCUGAUUUUAAAUAAUAAUAAAAUUGAAAUGAGGUAUUUACAUGCAGGGUGUUUAAAACGUCAUUUUGUUUUUUAGUGUCUGACCUUAAAGAAGUCUGAAUUGGUCGAAAAGUGAGCAUUAGAUUUGGAGGAAAAGGGAGGAGGAUCAGGUUGUUGUUAGCUAAAUAUUAAGAAAAUGUUCAUUAACUUAUAAAAAAGUAAAGUAUUAGUUUCCUCUAACUAUUCUGGCAUUUAUUCAAUCUUAUUGACCUUAGAGGAAAGAUUUUAUCCAAUUUAAUGUCAGACACAAGGAAAGAAAAGUGUUUUUGUAUGUUGCAUGCUGGGAUCUGAUUUCAGCUGUACACGGGUGCUGGAUUGUGUGCGGAUAUAAAAACUAUGUUUUUCUUUUUGUGGCACUGUCACAAUCGUAAUUCUAAUGAAAAAAGCUUUUGUGACAAAAAAGUAGUUGAAUUAACACAGUUUACAGGAUACACCUGUAAUUCUUUUGAGAUCAAAUCUCAUGACUCCUCUGAGUCUAUCUUUGUUUAAUGGUAUUAUUCCUAAGAAAUUAUACUAAUUGAACUGUAGCUUUUGUGCAAUAACUGAGUUUUAUGUACUUGACGUGGAAAAGAGAUAAUCAGGAACAAAACUUUACACCUUAAACUUUCAGGGAAGCUAAUCUAUUCCAGAUCAGCAUUGUUUUCGGUGAGUCCCGUUAAUUAGCGCAAACAAAAUAAAAAAAAGUGUUUUUUUGCUCUGCUCUGUUGGUGUGGUCUGUUAACCCUUUCAAUGCUGUGUAAUUUGCUGUAAAUUGUGGGUUUUGGUGUGUUUAAUCAAUCACUUUAAAACAAUGUGCAAAUGCAUCAAUGUAACGGGGAUAUAAAGCCAUUCAUCACCAGAUGCUGCAUUUCUUUUGUGUGUUUUGUAACUAAAAUGAAACAGAGUUUGAAAUCAAGAUAAUCAUGGUUUAAAGUGCACUAAGUUGUUGAUUUUUAACUUCUAUAAGGGUACAUUUUAGAAGGCUAGACAUUUUUAUUUCCUUGAUUGUUCUUUAAAAAAUAAAAUACUGUAUGAUUUGCUUCAUUA